UCUAUAUUCAUUGCUGAACAUACCAUUCAGAUGGCUGAAGAGUUAGGUAGAGACCCCACAUUGGACGAGGUCUUUUUAAAAACUCACACUAAGAAGAAGGACAACUCUUGGGUUGAUGAAAGAGCAAAAAAAA